rnacentral:misc_RNA from 1 species
AAAAUGCGAUAAUUAGCGUGAAUUGCAGACGCUUUGAACGCCAAAUUUUCGAACGCACAUUGCGCCAUAGGAGUCUUACCCUAUGGCACAUCUGGUUGAGGGUCGUGAUCAAAAACAGCUAGGAUUGGGCUGUAUUAGAGCUAAUUGGUGGAUCAUCAUGCCGGCACACCAUGCCUAGUUGUCGGCGGUGUUCUACCAUAAUGCUUUUAGAGGGCAUCCUUAAGGGUACUUCCUUGCCACACGGACGGCCAGGCAUUUCGACUGCCACAUGGGCCGGCCGCCAGGUAUCAUAAAACCGUCUAGUGUGUAUACUUGGUUGGUCCGGACCGUCGAUUUGACUUGAGACAGUACGUGCACUUGGCAGUGGCUUGAUCGCUUUCCCGACCUCAACUCAGGUGUG